ACGAACGCUGGCGGCAGGCCUAACACAUGCAAGUCGAGCGCGCCCUUCGGGGUGAGCGGCGGACGGGUUAGUAACGCGUGGGAACGUGCCCUGAUCUAAGGAAUAGCCACUGGAAACGGUGAGUAAUACCUUAUACGCCCUUCGGGGGAAAGAUUUAUCGGAUUUGGAUCGGCCCGCGUUAGAUUAGGUAGUUGGUGGGGUAAUGGCCUACCAAGCCUACGAUCUAUAGCUGGUUUUAGAGGAUGAUCAGCAACACUGGGACUGAGACACGGCCCAGACUCCUACGGGAGGCAGCAGUGGGGAAUCUUGGACAAUGGGGGCAACCCUGAUCCAGCCAUGCCGCGUGAGUGAUGAAGGCCUUAGGGUCGUAAAGCUCUUUCGCCUGUGAUGAUAAUGACAGUAGCAGGUAAAGAAACCCCGGCUAACUCCGUGCCAGCAGCCGCGGUAAUACGGAGGGGGUUAGCGUUGUUCGGNAUUACUGGGCGUAAAGCGCGCGUAGGCGGAUUAGUCAGUUAGAGGUGAAAUCCCAGGGCUCAACCCUGGAACUGCCUUUAAUACUGCUAGUCUUGAGUUCGAGAGAGGUGAGUUGGAAUUUCCCAGUGUCCAGGUGGAAAUUCCU
rnacentral:rRNA from 1 species